GUGAAUCAUCAAAUUUUUGAACGCAAAUUGCACUCUCCUCGGAGAGUAUGCCUGUUUGAGGGCCAGCCUAUAAAAAAUCGACAUCGCUGCUGUUUCGCGGUGGCGUUCGUCGGCCAUUGGGUCAUCUUAAGUCUUUUGGUUUUAAGCGACUUAAAAUUUUCUUUUUGGUUCCAUGAACGUUUCUAAGAUUUAUUUCUUUACACGUUUAAGGCAUCGAUUUUUAUUAGACGCUACCAUCAUAUCGGAUCGCGCCUAUA
rnacentral:misc_RNA from 1 species